ACACGAUGCAAGGAACAAAAUGGGUUCCCCGGCGACUUUUUGAGAAAAUACAGACAGAAAUAAAAAGGCUGCCCAGAAACAAUAUCUCACAUGUCACAGGCUCGGUACUCUGGAGUCCUGUGUUAACUGAAAACCCAUUUUGAUGUUUGGUUCUAAAUCCAUGAUGAUGAGUCUCCAUUUCUUUUUCUUCUCCAUUCCCAAGUGUGCUUUACAAGUCAAACAGGGAGCAGCAGACCCAGGAGCAUGGCCUUGGAAACCUAGAAGAAAAGUGACAUUUAAAUGUACAGAAAGAAGAGCCCUGGAGGAGAAGUCAGGAGAGAAGCAAAAAGAAGUUUGAGGAGCACGUGGACCCUCAGAGAAAGACUCCUCCUCUGUCUCCAUCCAAGGUUUUCUGAUCCUUCUUCGUAAGACUGAGCAUCUGGAGGGCGAGGACCAUUGCUACCCUCUUGCAUAUUGUGAGACCCCAGAAAGCCCAGGGCAAUAUUCACUGGGUGAAGACAGCAGAUUCGCUUAGCAAUGGUUCAGCACAUUUACACUGACCAUGAAGCUGGUUUCCUAUGGCUGCUGUAAUAAAUUCUCGAACUUGGUAAAACCUUCAAA